GAAAAUGUAUCAAGGAAUUCACCGUCCCUUUUUUUUUCCUCCUCCUCUCCUUCCCUCCUCCCAUUCCCAAACACAGUAUUAAGCACUUGACAAAAUUAAGCGGCCCUGAACCCUGCACGUGAGCCACUCUACCUCUGCAAAACCCCAAACAAAAACCCCCAAAAAACAAUUCAACACCAAACUCUUCUGUUCCCUGAACACCAUGGCGGAAGCUGAAAUCGGCGAAAUCGUGACCCAGCAAGAUAGUUCAAAAGAACCCAAAAAUCUAUUCUCAUUCCUUCCCAGAUUUGAGAUAAAACUUCCAUUCUUUAAUCAAGAUGAGAAGAAGCCACCACAAUCUGUGGUCAAAGAGGAACCGAAAAUCGCUGUAGGUGGCGAUGGAGAGGCUGAUAAUGCAAAGCAGAAACCAAAUUUUGUGAGGUUCCCAAAUGCUUAUCCCGUAAUUCCGCCAUCUCUUGAUGUCGAGCUCGAAGAGAGCAGCGGAAGGACUCACAAUCCAGUAGUUAUCUGGCAGGUUUAUGCCCUUGGUGGGUUCAUCAUAUUGAAAUGGGUAUGGGCGAGAUGGAAGGAAAGAAAGGAGAGAGCUAAGAAAGCAUCAUCCGAUGAUGAUGAAUCUUCUGAUGAGUAUCAAUC
rnacentral:misc_RNA from 1 species